rnacentral:lncRNA from 1 species
AUGCUCUUCUCGGCGGUGCUGUCAGCUCGGGGCUGGGUCCCCGUCAGGUUGCCUGUGCUUUCUGCCCAGCGGGGAAAUGGGAAACUCCUGCGCUCCUGUUCCUGUGCCUCUCAAGACGACCUGAGCCUAUGCGGAGGGACUGACGGGUGCUGUCUGCCGCUGCCCCUCCGCUCCCAGCAGCUGCCUCUUCCAGAGCCAAGAACCCAGCCCAAGAUCCCUCUGCCCACCUCGUGGCCAGCGCCAGCCCCGGGGGAGACCUCCGGAGCUCCAGAGCCAGAAUCCCGAAGCAUCCAGAAAGCUGUGCCGCACGCAGCUGGAAGCGGGGAGAGGCUUCCGUGGGGGUAUUUUUUUGGCUGUCGUAUCCUGGAGGAGUGCGGACCGCUUUUAAGCGAGGCGAGGCAGCUUGGCGCACCGUUUCUGCCAGUCAGGAGACGCGCAACAGGGAGGAGAAAAUCUCGAAAUUGCUGUUCCCUCUCAGCCGUCAGCACCCUCCCUCCACCCUGGAACAGGCUGCUAAUGGCUUGUUUGUGCCUCAGCACCGCCGGGAAGAGGGCUGAGAGCAGGCGUGUCUCGGCGCUGUCGGGCUUCCCCUCCCGUUAGACAGCAAUAAUUAGCGGCUGGAGGCAGCACCUCUUGCUCGGCGCGGAAUUAGCUGUUUUCUCUUCCCCUUUCUGCCAGCGGGAAAGUCACAGCAAGGGGCUCGCCGAGGCGCUGCCUGCAGUGGCUGGGACCUGGACCCCGGGGUUUGGGAGCCUCCCCCGGUCCUGUUGCCUCUCCUCUCCUCUCGCUGUAGCCCAAGGGGCCGCUCGGUGCAGGACGUGGCUGAAGCCGGGGGGUUUUGGCCUCCUGCUCCGCUGUGAUCACAGCCGACGGAGGCGUGUGACGUGAUUUAUUCGUUCCCUAGCGCGGCAUUCCCCAUACGUCCCGAAGCACUUCAUGGGAGUGCUUAAUGCUCCUCGGUGCUGCUCUAAAGUAAAUACUGGGCAGGGCUUUAGAGAGCACCGGCGUGGCUCCUGGCAGAGCGGCAGCCGCUUUCCUUUCCGCUUAUCUGUUGUGUGGGAUGGCAGCCUCUGAAAAUAGGCGUCGUUUCUCUUUGCAGCGCGCGCGUGUCUUUCCAGCCUGACGUUUGUUAAAUCUGGUCCGGUUUUUUCGUCGGUAACGACGGGGAGAGGAUGUGAAGAAUACCCGCCUCGUCAGGGCGUGCUCCUGUGCUGGACAGCUCGCGGCACAGCUCCGCAGCCAGCGCCGCCGUGCCCCUCGCGGAGCCCAACUGUGCCACGGAUCCCGCUG